rnacentral:rRNA from 1 species
UACGGGGGGGGCUAGCGUUGUUCGGAAUUACUGGGCGUAAAGGGCGCGUAGGCGGCCUUCUAAGUCGAACGUGAAAUCCCCGGGCUCAACCCGGGAACUGCGUCCGAUACUGGAAGGCUUGAAUCCGGGAGAGGGAUGUGGAAUUCCAGGUGUAGCGGUGAAAUGCGUAGAUAUCUGGAGGAACACCGGUGGCGAAGGCGACAUCCUGGACCGGUAUUGACGCUGAGGCGCGAAAGCCAGGGGAGCAAACGGG